AGUAUCCAUCGCGCGGUGCAUCAAUAGCCAUCGUCGGGGCUGCUCUCGAUCUGGGAGGAGCAGCACCUCCCCAUCAGAUCCGACGAGGGCCAUGGCGCCGUGCAGUUCGGAUGGGGUUCUCACCCCAUCCCACGCCGCCCACCGCAGGGGAGAAGGACGAGGAACUCCACCACCGGCCCCUCUGCGCCCCCAAGCAGUUUGCAGCGUGUGCGUGUGCAGGAUGGUAGGCACGUUGAUGCAGUCCAUCCCUCGAUCCGACCGCAGAUGUCGGCCCCUCUGCACCUUGGUGCCCGGCGCGGGCACCACCGCAGCCCCAUCCCUGUGCCACCUCCCUCAGCCCCGGAUCCACCAGCACAUCCCCCGCCCACGGCGCGCCGCGGUCAACAGCGUUUCUCCGAGCCUCUUUCUCUCACAGCCUCCUUAAUGAUCUCUCUCCCCCAUGAUUUGUCUACACCAGAGCAGCUGCGGUGUUAGUGCGCCAUCAGAUCGAGUGCUGACGACCACAAGCAGUGAGAGGACUAGAGGAGGAAGAAAAAGGAAUGCAACCGCGUGCAGUACAUCACCCCGUGCGGGAUCCGUGCCAUGGUGAUUUUUUUGAGUCAUGUUGCAUUUUACUUGCUUGAGCGAGCGGUUCGUCAGGCACAUUCCAUGCAAUGCAUUGCCAUGUUUUUGCAGUGUGUUGGCAUGUCCUUUCGGUUGAAGCACCAUCUAUUUCUCCGUGCAGUGCAUUGGCAUGUUUUUGCAGUGUGUUGGCAUGUUCUUUGCCGGGAAGCACCAUCUAUUUAUGUGACGAGUUUGUGUUUUCUUUGUAUGUUUAGUGCACUACAGUUUAGGGCACCUCGUGCAGUUCAGAAACGUGGGCUUGGAGUGCAUUAGCUCAUCCUAUGACGAAGAAAACAAGUGUCUCAUAUGCUAAAUUUGGUGUCUCGUGUGUACUGUUUGUGUAAAAAGAAUGAUGUUUCAUUACCUCUCUGUA